UACAGAGGGGGCAAGCGUUAUUCGGAAUUAUUGGGCGUAAAGGGUGCGUAGGCGGGUCUUUAAGUCAGGGGUGAAAUCCUGGAGCUCAACUCCAGAACUGCCUUUGAUACUGAAGAUCUUGAGUGCGGGAGAGGUGAGUGGAACUGCGAGUGUAGAGGUGAAAUUCGUAGAUAUUCGCAAGAACACCAGUGGCGAAGGCGGCUCACUGGCCCGAUACUGACGCUGAGGCACGAAAGCGUGGGGAGCAAACAGG
rnacentral:rRNA from 1 species